rnacentral:ncRNA from 1 species
UUAAGAUAGAGGUUGCGGAAAGCAAAAGUAUCCUGCGGGACGAUUACGGUAAAGGUUGAUCGCAGAAGAAAGGGCUGGCCGCCGAAGGGGACAGGAUCCGUUGCCGUCUGCCUGGGGAUGCGGGAAAUACCCGUAUCACUGUCAUCUGAAAGGGACUGCAUGUCAGUCCGGAGAGAUGGGGCGCUAUCAUA